rnacentral:rRNA from 1 species
AGUCGAACGAGAAAGUUCCUUCGGGAGCGAUUAAAGUGGCGCACGGGUGAGUAACGCGUAGACAAUCUGCCCUUCAGUCUGGGACAACUUUUCGAAAGGAGAGCUAAUACCGGAUAACAAUGUUUAACCUAAGUUAAGUAUUUGAAAGCUUUAUGUGCUGAAGGAGGGGUCUGCGUCCCAUUAGCUAGUUGGUAAGGUAAGGGCUUACCAAGGCGACGAUGGGUAGCGGGUUUGAGAGGACGAUCCGCCACACUGGAACUGAGACACGGUCCAGACUCCUACGGGAGGCAGCAGUGGGGAAUAUUGCACAAUGGAGGAAACUCUGAUGCAGCAAUGUCGCGUGAGUGAAGAAGGCCCUUGGGUCGUAAAGCUCUUUUAUGGGGGAAGAUGAUGACGGUACCCCAAGAAUAAGCACCGGCUAACUAUGUGCCAGCAGCCGCGGUAAUACAUAGGGUGCGAGCGUUGUUCGGAAUUACUGGGCGUAAAGGGCGCGCAGGCGGAAUAGUAAGUCGGAGGUGAAAGCCCGGGGCUCAACCCCGGAGGGUCUUUCGAAACUGCUAAUCUAGAGAGGGUCAGGGGCCGGCAGAAUUCCUGGUGUAGAGGUGAAAUUCGUAGAUAUCAGGAGGAAUACCGGUGGCGAAAGCGGCCGGCUGGGGCCACUCUGACGCUGAGGCGCGAAAGCGUGGGGAGCAAACAGGAUUAGAUACCCUGGUAGUCCACGCCGUAAACGAUGAGCACUGGACGUUCGGAGGGUUCGACCCUUCUGGGUGUCUCAGCUAACGCAUUAAGUGCUCCGCCUGGGGAGUACGGUCGCAAGACU